CCGAGUUGUAGUUUGCAGAGGGAGCUUUGGCAUCCGGAGGCGUUCUAAGUCCCUUGGAACAGGGCAUCACAGAGGGUGAGAAUCCCGUACGUGAGCGCUUCCUUUGCCGUGUAAAGCCCCUUCGACGAGUCGAGUUGUUUGGGAAUGCAGCUCUAAAUGGGAGGUAAAUUUCUUCUAAAGCUAAAUACUGGCCAGAGACCGAUAGCGCACAAGUAGAGUGAUCGAAAGAUGAAAAGCACUUUGGAAAGAGAGUCAAAUAGCACGUGAAAUUGUUGAAAGGGAAGCGCUUGCAGCCAGACGUGCCCGCAGUUGCUCACCCGGGCUCUCGCCCGGGGCACUCUUCUGCGGGCAGGCCAGCAUCAGUUUGGGCAGCCGGAUACAGGCCUCUGUCACGUAUCUUCCUCCGGGAUGACCUUAUAGGGGAGUCGUAACACGGUUAGCCCGGACUGAGGUCCGCGCAUCCGCUAGGAUGCUGGCGUAAUGGCUGUAAGCGGCCCGUCUUGAAACACGGACCAAGGAGUCUAACAUCUAUGCGAGUGUUUGGGUGUCAAGCCCGGGCGCGCAAUGAAAGUGAACGGAGGUGGGAACCCUCUCGGGGGCGCACCAUCGACCGAUCCUGAUGUCUUCGGAUGGAUUUGAGUAAGAGCAUAGCUGUUGGGACCCGAAAGAUGGUGAACUAUGCUUGAAUAGGGUGAAGCCAGAGGAAACUCUGGUGGAGGCUCGCAGCGGUUCUGACGUGCAAAUCGAUCGUCAAAUUUGGGCAUAGGGGCGAAAGACUAAUCG
rnacentral:rRNA from 1 species